rnacentral:lncRNA from 1 species
AAUCUCCACAUGGAAACUCCACAAAAAGAGUGUUUCAAAUCUGCUCUUUCUGAAGGAAGGUUCAACUCUGUGAGUUGAAUACACACCCCACAAAUAAGUUACUGAUAAUUCUUCUGUGUAACAUUAUAUGAGGAAAUCCCGUUUCCAACGAAGGCCUCAAAGAGGUCCAAAUAUCCACUUGCAGACUUUACAAAUACAGUUUCUCCAAACUCCUCCAUCAAAAGAAAGGUUAUACUCUGUGAAUUGAACGCACACAUCACAAAGUAGUUUCUGAGAAUGA